ACGGGUGCGUAACGCGUGGGAAUCUGCCUUGGGGUUCGGAAUAACUCCCCGAAAGGGGUGCUAAUACCGGAUGAUGUCGAAAGACCAAAGAUUUAUCGCCCUGAGAUGAGCCCGCGUAGGAUUAGCUAGUUGGUGUGGUAAAGGCGCACCAAGGCGACGAUCCUUAGCUGGUCUGAGAGGAUGAUCAGCCACACUGGGACUGAGACACGGCCCAGACUCCUACGGGAGGCAGCAGUGGGGAAUAUUGGACAAUGGGCGAAAGCCUGAUCCAGCAAUGCCGCGUGAGUGAUGAAGGCCUUAGGGUUGUAAAGCUCUUUUACCCGGGAAGAUAAUGACUGUACCGGGAGAAUAAGCCCCGGCUAACUCCGUGCCAGCAGCCGCGGUAAUACGGAGGGGGCUAGCGUUGUUCGGAAUUACUGGGCGUAAAGCGCACGUAGGCGGCUUUGUAAGUCAGAGGUGAAAGCCUGGAGCUCAACUCCAGAACUGCCUUUGAGACUGCAUCGCUUGAAUCCAGGAGAGGUGAGUGGAAUUCCGAGUGUAGAGGUGAAAUUCGUAGA
rnacentral:rRNA from 1 species